CCGGAUCGUGAUGGAGCUGUACGCCAACGAGGUGCCCAAGACCGCGGAGAACUUCCGCGCGCUGUGCACGGGCGAGAAGGGCGUGGGCAAGUCCGGGAAGCCGCUCCACUACAAGGGCUCCACCUUCCACCGCGUCAUCCCCGAGUUCAUGUGCCAGGGCGGCGACUUCACCCGCGGCAACGGCACCGGCGGCGAGUCCAUCUACGGCGAGAAGUUCCCCGACGAGAAGUUCGUGCGCAAGCACACCGCCCCCGGUGUGCUCUCCAUGGCCAACGCCGGGCCCAACACCAACGGCUCCCAGUUCUUCAUCUGCACCGUCGCGACCCCUUGGCUCGACGGCAAGCACGUCGUCUUCGGCCAGGUCGUCGAGGGCAUGGACGUCGUCAAGGCCAUCGAGAAGGUGGGCACCCGCAACGGCUCCACCUCCAAGGUGGUCAAGGUCGCUGACUGCGGACAGCUCUCCUAGAUCUCUCUGAUCUGGUCUGUUCGGCCGCCCUCCCUCCGUCAUCGUCGACUCCCCCUGCGUCCGUUCCUUUGGAUCUGAAUAAGAUGGUGGUGAUCUGAGUGGUGGUCUUAGUUUAUCAUGUAUCGCUCGCAGUUUAAUUUAGCGGUUUAGGUGUGGAUCUGUGAACCCCAUGGCGCCUCUGCUUGAUUCGUGUUUCACCUGUUAUGUUCUGAGAUUCAUGAUAAUGCUAUGAGAACUGAAAUUCCCGUUUCAUGCUUCUUAAAUCUUUGACCUCUGCGGUUGUGCCAUACGUUUUUAUUUUCCAUUCCGAGAUCUAGGCCACAAAAUGAUUCUGGUUGUUAGUGUUUUAAUGUGAACUGCCAAGCAUGGAUCACCCAACCUUUGCGUGGCACAGUUCUUUGUUUGGUAAAUUAUCCCAGCAUCCUUUCAUGUUUAGAUAAGAACUGUCUGAUGAUUUAUAACCAAAAUUCGAUCUAUAAUUUAUAACCGUCAGUGUCGACGAGACGAGAGAGGGCAAUAUCUUGAGCAAUGUUUUCAGAUCGGCCGAAAGGUUCUGAUCGCCAGAGGGGCGAUCAGUCGGCAAAUCGCUAUUAAUCGACGAUCAGCCUGAUUAAUCGGCCUCUGACAGGCCUAAUCAACCAAUCAGAGCUAGUUUUCAUCCAUUUGGGAUAGGCAAAGUGAACAUUGAGCAACAACGACGAGCACACGAGAACAGCAAUACAGCCACCUGCUGCAGCAAGCCGGUCGGUCGGUCGGUCGGCCGUCCGUCUACAGGAAGUCGGGGACUGGGCAGUGGGGAGAACAAGCCACCUGCUGCAGCAAGGCGUCGUCGCGCUGGGGACCGAGGGGGCACCAGUCGCGAUGGCGUCCGUGCGUACAGAUGGCAACGGGUACAAACCCGUCAGGUUUCGCUAUCCCAAACCCCGUACCUAUGAAAAAUAUUUACACCCGUUAAAAAAUCUGUAUCCAUAACGGGUUUGAAAUUUUGCCCAAACCCGUACCCAUCGGGUUUGCGGGUACCCACGGGUGGUUUUUUAUCUCCAAUAUGCUUAUUCUUUUUAUAAUCAAUAAGUAUGGUAAUGAUUAAUGAGAUCAUGGUCCAAAAUUUAUGUAAUGAACAACGAGUUCUUGAUUUGGUAUAAAAAUAUUAGUAGAGAGAAUUAAAUACAAAUAAUAAGUUGUAUAAUCAAGUUACCUUGCACUAAGUUAUACAUCCACCACAUAUAUAACGCUAGUAAUAACUAUAAUAGCAAGCAAGCAACACUAUCAUCAACUACUUAUACAUUCACAAUUUGAUAAAAAUUAGGAAGUAAAUAGAUAGAUAACAAGUUUGUUGUUCGUUUAUAAAAUAAGAUUACAAUAUGUACUAGGUUUGGUCGGGUUUAAAAAACCCACGGGUUCACGGGUUUGGGUAUUAUAGGAACAAACCCGUACCCAUGAACCCGUCGGGUAUACAUUUAUGCCCAUUAACAAACUCAUGGGUAUGAAAAUUGACCCAAACCCGUACCCUAAUGGGGUAAAAACCCAUCGGGUUUCGGGUUUCGGGUACCCAUUGCCAUCUCUAUCCGUGCGUGCUGCUCUGGUUUGCGUCUCAAACUCAAUGCUUCCGUGUGUGGGCUGCGGAGGGUUUAUGUUUUGUUAACCUAAACUAAUUUACAUUUCAAUCCACCUCAACACAUAUAGAUUAGAGUCAAUACUAGAAUAUUCAAAUUAGGCCUCAGUGGACUGCAGCAAACUGAUCGUCCACGAUCUAAUUGGAUGACUAAUCACGCUUAAUUGACAACUAAUCUAAUUGACGACUAAUCGGAUGAUUAGGUUUCUAAUCGUUUUGACCGUGUCGUUGCUGCUUAUCGAGCGCGCUACCAUUAAUUGGACGAUCGGAAAACACUGAUCUUGACUGGGAAUUGGGAAUGUAGUGGAUAUCUUGUCUGUGGCUUUCUGAAAACUGAUGAACAUGUGUGUGAAUUGAUGACUAAUGAGUUGUGUUAAUUUGGUGCUACAAUGAUGUGAUCUGUGAAACUAUAAGUAUAAUUAUUAUUUUCUAUUGUUAAAUUAGUUUGAAAUUAACUAGAAAUUAAUUAUUAUAUACAUUUUUUUGCCUAGCUCGCGAGCUAAACAAGCCAGCUCGAGCUCGUAAACCAGCCGAGCCGAGUUGACUGUGUGGCUCGUUAGUUUAACGAGUCGAGUCGAGCCAACUCGUUAGUUUAACGAGUCAGCUCAAACUCGGACGAUCUGAACUGACUCGAUAUCCAGCCCUAGUCGUGACGAUCUCUAGUGGGUUUACGUGAGGGCGCAAGUGGAGGCGUGAGUGAGGGGUGGGAUUAUUCGGACAUCUUGAGUCGUUAGGUGUGAGUGAGUGAGAGAAAGAAUGUGGGAGAAAAGAUCUAGACGGUUUAAUGUGGUGGAGUAUUUCUUGUGUGUACAAAGUGGGAUAUAGAAAAACACAUCUCUGCAGGGGUUAUUUGUUGGGUGGAUCUAGAUUAAAUUUGUUGAGUGGAUCUAGAUUAAAUUGAACGGGUGCCUUAUUUAGGGAUAUAGGUAUGAGAUCAAAUUGUAUGAAAUAGUCUAGCUUGUAUUACUCAUGCAUUCAUGUCAUUACUUCCCGGAUCGUGUUUGGCAUUGAUGACUUUCACAGGUAACUAUGUUGCCCUCUAUUUGAUUAUAUAGUGUGCCGUGGGUUGGUGGAGCAGAUGUUGAAUUAGCUUGUUGCUUGUCUCACCCACAAUGUGCAGAGGCGGCCGUUGCUGGCGUUGAGCAUGAGGUAUAAUCUUCUUCUAUUCCUCUCCUUCAUGCACCCUGUAUUGGUAUACUUGUGUGUAAGAACUUAGGUCAUGUUUGGUUCCUUUAGUCACUAGACUAAACUUUAGUGACUAAAGUGUAGUCGUUAAAGUAUCCUGUUUGGUUCCAGUGACUAAACCAAACUAAAUAUCAUUAAGUGUUGUGAAUAAUGAUUGUACUGCUCCUAUUAAUUAGUGGAUGAUUGGUGCAAGAAGAAAGUAGAGAGUGCAAAUAAGGUAAAAAUCCUAAUUUAGUCCCUUUUAGUCACCCCCUUGUUAGUAAAGAACAGAAGUUUAGUCACCCUACUUCAGUCACUAUGUUUGCUUCUUUAGGAACUAAAAAUGACUAAACUUUAGUCAUUAAACUUUAAUCACCCUAAACCAAUGGCUUCAGGUCAGUUUUUGGUGGCUGGUGUUGGGGCCAUGCUUCGUUGCGCCGAAGGUCUUGCGUGAAGAAGCAGCUUCGGCUGAAAUCGUCCCCAGGAAAUGGCCGAAGGUUCCUUUUUAUAGAGCUUCGGCGUUGCAAACCGACAUAAAGAUAGAAUGACCUUUUUAUCCAUAGAGGUCUAACAUAAUGUUGUAAACUUUUGUAAAGGGCAUAAUUGUAAUUCGUCACAGGCUGCGUCCUGUGUCUAUAAAUAGAUGAACAGUACCCCCGUACUGUUCACACGAACCUGUCAUUUGCCUUCACAUCACACUUGUAUUCUUCAAGACCGAAGGUACAUUUGUAAUUUGGAGUCAUUUACUUUCGUUUAUAAUAAUAAAAAUAGAGAUGAUUUUAUGAUAACAUUUAAGUAUUUUCAUAUCUCAUGAUUUAUAUGAAUGCUUCGUUCCUCAUUGUCACGCUUACGAAGCUACGUCCUUCGUAACCUUCGUCCGAGAUGCUUUAUAUUCCAAAGGGAUAUAAUGUUAUGGAGGACGAAGGACUUUUACACUUAACAUUUUCUAUGUUGCCUUGUUCUUAAUUCUUAGCAUUUGAGAACAAGUCCCCAACAUUGGCGCCCACCGUGGGGCUCGAACCCACGACCAAGCCCACUUUGUUCUCAAAUGCUUCGAAUUAAGAACAAGGCAACACAGAAAAUGUUAAGUACUAAGGUCCUUCGUCCUUCAUAACGAUAUAUCCCUUCGGGAUAUAUAGCAUCUCAGACGAAGGUUGCAAAGAACAUACCUUCGUAAGCAUAACAACGAAGAAUAAAGCAUUCACAUAAAUCAUGAAAUAAACAUGUAAAUAUUAUCAUAGAAUUAUCUCUACUUGUAUUAAUGAAUAUAAAUAACUUUGAAGUACAAAUGUACCUUCGGUCUUGCGGAAGGCAAAAAGUACGAAUGUGAUGCGAAGGAAAAAAGCAGGUUCGCGUGAACAGUACAGAGGUACUGUUCAUCUAUUUAUAGACACAGGUCGCAGCCUGUGACAAAUUACAAUUAUGCCCCUUGCGGAAGUUUACAACAUUGACUCGGACAUACAUGUAUAAAAAGGUCAUUCUGCCUCUAUGUCGGUUUAAAACGCCGAAGCUCCAUGAAAAGGGACCUUCGGCCAUCUCUUAGAAACGACUUUGGCCGAAGCUGCUUCUUCGUGUGAGACCUUCGGCGUACCGAAGCACGACCCCAACAGUAGCCCCUUUCGCGGUGCUAGAUCGUUCUUCGUAACGAGCUUGGCCCGUGAAAAAAAACCUCUUCAGCUUCGGGAAGCCGAAGGUCCAAAAAACACCUUCCCUGAGCUCGUUGCGGAGAAACGAUCCGACUUCCGAGCGCGUGCCAAGCCCACUUUGCAGAGUUACUGUUUGGUCUUUGCGGUCCACUGCACAGCGGGUAUGAGUUACUGCGCGCCUGGUGUAACAGUUCCACCGCUUCGCCUUCCUACCUGCAGCACUAUAUAAACAAACAGGUGGGUGUGAAGUUACCACAGCAUUCAUUGCUAUUUGCACUGUUUCGCUGCCAAAAUUUUUCACCAUAGCCGAAGCUUAAGUCUCAGAAUCGAACGAAGGUGCUUCUCAACGUCCGCUUCGUCAGAAAGAAGAGCUUCGGAGAAAAGAAAAAAGGAAAAAGUUUUUGACUUCCCAAACUUAGAAUCAAAUGGCGAGAAUACGAUCUACUGCCAAAGUUGUACGUGAGGGAGACGAAGCCGAAGGUUCAGACACUGUGCCCAUCUCCGAAGCAAUGCAGCGUUCCGGUCUACUGACUACAGAAGAAAUGCCUGCUGCUGAAGCAGGCCCAACAACUGCCGAGGGAAAAGAAAACAUUGAAGGGACUGACUCCGAAGAUGACUAUCACCUUGCUAUGCCCAGCAAGCCCAGUCACCUGGAUUUUGGGAAAUCAACUGUUUCAAAAGCUGACCUUUCGAAGAUGGUGAAAGCAGGUUAUUUCAAUGAGGACCAGAAGAAGCUACUCCGCUUCGGGGAAGAAGAAACCACCCCGAAGCCAAGGAAGGAUGAGAUUGUUAUUUUCAAGAGUUUUUUAAAAGCCGGGCUUAGAUUCCCUCUCCACGAUAUUGUUGCGGAGAUACUAAGGAGGUUUGGUAUCUACUUUCAUCAAUUGACUCCUAACGCCAUCGUUAGGCUCAAUGUUUAUAUCUGGGCCCUCCGAAGCCAAGCUGUGGAACCAUUUGCUGACAGCUUCUGCCGAGCUCACGAAUUACAUUACCAAACAAAGGCCAGAAAAGAUGGGCUACAUGAUAAUUUCGGUUGCUAUAAUUUUGCCUACCGGAAGACAACAAAGUGUCCUGUCAUCAGCUACCGAAGCAAAUGGCCAGCAUGUUGGAAAUCUGAGUGGUUUUAUGUAAAAGUCGAUGAAGACAAAGAAAAAUUGGUACAAAGCCCUCUGGAGUUAAUCUUCGGAGAGACAAGGCCACAAUGCCGCAUUGGCGACCUAAAAGGUCCCACCUGGGCUGCCCUGGGUGAAUUUGAAAUUAUCUCAGAACAUAUUGGCACCAGGGAUCUAGUUCAAGAGUUCUUGGCAUUCAGAGUUUUCCCUACUCUAAAAGAGUGGGAGAUGCCGAAGCUGGAGGGAGAGAAGAAGAAGGGGGAGCUUGUCCGGCUUCCCUAUUACUUCAAGUUCAAGAAGUUCUUCAAAAAACCCUGCAAAGAAUGGUUAGACACUGUUGAGGUGAUGUGCAACGAAAUCCUGGGGAAUUACUCCAAAAAAGAGGAUCAACUAAUGACAGCAGCCUUCGGUGCCCGACCGAAACGAAGGCUGAACCGAGUGCUUGACGCCCUAGGCUUCGAAUACCCAGACUACGAACAAUUGAACAAGGGCACCGAGGGCCUCAAAAGAAAAAGAGUAGCCGAAGCUCUGAUCAGGGAUGAAGAAAUACCAGCAAAGGAGAAGAAAGUUCUCAAGAAAAGAAAAAUAUCUGCUCCGAAGCGCAAAUCACCCGAAGAAGAGGAGACCCCCACACCGCCUUCUACCAGCGACGUGGAGGAAAUUUUAAAGGUAAUGACUGAACCCAUGCCUACGAAGCUAAGUCCACUAGGGCUCCAACUGACGAAGCUUUUUGAAAAGGUGGACGAGCCGGAUCAACCGAAGAUAAACAAACCCAAACGGCAAAGAAUUAUUGCGGUAACUGAGGUUAUCGACAAAACUCCACCUAGGUUGUCAAUUCAGAAAACGGCAGCUGCUGAAGGUAGAGCUUCGGAAGUCGCGGCUACCGAAGCUGCCACACCCGAAGAUGUAAAUUUAGAAACUACUCUUGAAAAUAUUGACAAAAUUUUGACGGAAAACGUUGAAGAAGCUGCCACCGUUACUGAAGAAAUCCUGGCCACAGUGCCAGGGAAAGGGAAAGAAAUAGUCGAAGAAACUCCGGACGACGAAGCCUAUUCUUUCCAGAAUCUAAUUGGGCAGAAACUGACGAAGGACGAAAUAGAAGAACUCAAAGACUAUGCCAAAUCUUGCGGCUACAAGCCAGGAGCCCUUCUAUUUGGGGGUGUAGAUGAUGAAAAACUAGGCUGCAUUCGAGACCAGACUGGAGCUAAGGUAAUCUGUACUCUAUCGAAGAGUAUCGGUUUUCCGAAGUUAGAGACAGACAUCAGCCGCUACCGACGACAACAUAUCGUCGGCAGCUUGUUUUAUUCUAACUUCAAGGUAAACAACCUUUUUCUCUGGUUUUUAUUGCCGUUAACAAUGAAAAUAUUACUUAACAUAAGUUGUUUCUGUUCAGAGCAUGCUACUGAGCAAAGCUCUGAAGAUGCAACAAGACUUGGAGGACAAAAAGCACGAAGCUAUAAUUGAAAACUUGGAAAGCAAAAUAAAAGAGCAAUCUGCCAUCAUUGAAAAGAAAGACUUCGAGCUCCAAUCGACCGAAGGCUUGCUGGCUGAAACUGAGGCUAAAAUAUUAGAGUUAAAUUCGAAGCUUAUCAAUCAAUCAAAACAAUUUGAUCAGGAGAAGCUAGAACUGAAUUCGAAGCUUAAAGCCGAAGUCCAGACCAGCUCAGAAUUGAAGAAAGCAUUAACAAGCCUUCAAGACAAAUGCUUGAACUUUGGCAAUAAUUGUAUUGGACGAUUAAAGAAGAUAUUUUACUCUGUUGGAGCCAGCAGUGGGAAAUUUAACCCUUCGGCGGAAAAUUUACCCCAGGCCUUCGAUCAUAUUGAAGCUGAAAUCGAAGAGCUUGACGAAGUUAUAGCCGGGCACGGCGACUUCUGUGCCUGGGUAGCUUCUCGGGGUACCGCUGCUGCAUUUCUGAAGGCCGGCUGCGAACAUGGAAAGGUUGUCAACAGGCCCAACUUCACCUUAUCUUCAUCAAUCCUGGAUGAUAUGCCCGACCUCGCCCGAAGUAUCUCCAAUAGAUUUAUAAAAAUGGUAUGGACAAAGGGCGGGCGAGAGAAAGCUGGAGACGAAGCCCGAAGUCAUCUUGAACCAGUAAGAAAUGACAUUUCGUGCUUACCUUUUCCUUUGGGCUUGAUUCUUAUGAUUCCUUGACUCAUGUAGGAUGACGAAGGUGAAGAUGAUGCCUAGGAUAUGUCGCCGAAGUUGUUGUCGAAGCUGAAGCUUAAUGAAGACUAGGAGAAGUGUGCUUUAGAAAAACUCAGGAUAAUUUUGUAACAACUCUUGUAAAUAGAAUUAAACUGUUCUUCAAGGAACUUUGUACAUACCUUGUAAUAUAUUCUUACCCUUCGAUUGAGGUGCUUUGAUGUGGACGAAAUCAGUUUUUUGAGCCGAAGGCGAAAAAACACCUUCCCUUCUUUUCGUACACAACGAAGCAUAAAAGGCCGCUUCCUCUUUUUGCCGAAGCCUUUCCUUACAUAACAAAACAUAAAAGACUGCUACUCUUAUCUGCCGAAGCUUUUAUUUACAUAACAAAACAUAAAAGACUGCUACUCUUAUACACAACGAUUCAUAAAAAACCACUUCUUCGAAACCUUUCUUUUACAUAACGAAUCAUAACAAACCAUUUAUCCGAAACUUUUCUCUGUGCCGAAGCAACCAUUUAGGAACACAAAUGCUAUGAAUGAAUGCUUAUGCAUGCAAAUGCCAUGAUGUAAUGUGCAAAUGAAUGUCCGAAGCGUAUGUCCGAAUCCACACUCAUCCAUCAUUUUCUUAGGAGCAAACACACGUCAGCUCUGCAUUCCCUUAGGAACGACUUUGGAGCAUCUUUGCCUUUUACUUAGGCAAUAUCAGCGUUGACUUUUCGCUGUAAGCUCUGCAUCCCCCUAGGGACGUCUUUGGAGCUUCUUCGUCUUUUACUUAGACGGUAUAAGCUCUGCAUUCCCUUAGGAACGACUUUGGAGCUUCUUCGCCUUUUACUUUCGGCGGAAUCAGCGUUGACUUUUCGCUGUGAGCUCUGCAUCCCCUUAGGGACGUCUUUGGAGCUUCUUCUCUUUUUUAGUUUCGGCACUCGAUGGUGCGCUCUCAGCUUUUACAUUUACAUUCUUUGGGGGAUUUUGCUCUUAUAAAACUAAAAAGGAAAUUACAUAAGAUGGCCCCAUUAAAAACCUUUCUCCCCCUUUAGAAAGGAAAAGGGUGCCAUGAAAAAGAAAAGAAAAGUCAAAAUUACAUCGAGUUAUACAUAAAACCGCCGAAGCUCAUCCGCAUUCCAAGAUCUUGGAAUUUCAUUGCCAUCCAUGUCCUUCAGUCUGUACGAACCAGGCCUUGACGAAGAUGCUACUAAGAAAGGCCCUUCCCAUUUCAGUUGCAAUUUGCCCACUGUAUCCGGAUUGGCCACUCUCCGAAGCACCAAGUGUCCUGGCUCAAUAUUUUUUAGCCGGACCUUUCUAUCUCGCCAUUUAACUGUUUCAGCCUGGUACUUAUUGAUAUUCUCCACGGCCUGAAGCCUGAUCCCUUCUAAGGCAUCUUUUUCCACGAGACAAGUAUCUUCGGGACCUGAUUCUGCCGAAGCUACCACUCUUAUUGAUCCAGCUUUGGCUUCUUCCGGGGUUAUUGCUUCGUCACCAAAUAACAACUUAAAUGGGGUAAAGCCUGUAGAUCUUGAUGUUGUUGUGUUAUGGCUCCAUACCACUUUGGUAAGCUGAUCUGGCCACUUUCCCCUUGGUUGAUUAAAGAUUAGCUUCAUUAUUCCUGUCAUUAUGAUGCCGUUGGCCCUUUCAACAAGCCCAUUCGACUCCGGGUGCCUGACUGACGCAAAGUGGAUCUUCGUGCCAAUUUGAUUACAAAAAUUUCUGAAUUCUUCGGAGUCAAAUUGUGUUCCAUUAUCUACAGUUAUAGCCUUCGGCACUCCGAAGCGACAGACAAUAUUCUGCCAGAAAAAUUUUUGGACAGUGGCCGAAGUUAUUGUAGCUAAUGGCUUCGCCUCAAUCCACUUGGAAAAAUAUUCCACAGCAACUACAACAUAUUUCAGAUUGCCUUGAGCCGGUGGUAAUGGGCCCAGCAAAUCGAGGCCCCACCUUUGCAAUGGCCAGAUGGGUUGUAUUAGCUGUGUCAAAGACGAAGGUUGUUUUUGAUCUCUUGCACAUUUCUGACAACCUUCGCACUUUUGAACUAACUCAGCUGCAUCCGAAGCUGCCUUCGGCCAAUAAAAUCCUUGACGGAACACUUUUCCAAGUAACGGCCUGGAUCCGAUGUGGGAUCCACAAAGGCCUGCAUGUAUCUCCUUCAUCAACUCUAUACCUUCGGCUCUAGACAAGCACUUGAGCAGCGGGGCACAAACUCCAUGCUUGUAUAACUCCCCUUCUAUAAUGAUAUACGGACGAGCUCUUGCCUCUAUUCUUUUAUUAUAAGCUUCGUCAUCUGAUAGGAAGUUGCCCUGAAGGUAAGAAAUUAUUUCAGUUCUCCAAUCUUCACUGUACACAGGAGAAAUAGUAAGAACUGCUCUUUCAAGUAACUCCACUGAAGGUGCCUUUAUUGUUUCGAAGAAUACAUCCGAAGGUAGUGGCAGCCCCUGUGCUGCAGACCUGGCUAACAAAUCAGCAUGUUCAUUUUGCCCUCGAGGGAUAUUCUUAACAGAAAAUCCUUCGAAGGAAGCUUCGAUCCUUCGGACUGUGUCUAGGUAUUUUUCAAGCUUCGGGUCUUUAGCCUUGCAACUUUUGUCAAUAUGACCCGAAACAAUCUGAGAAUCAGUUUUAAGGAUCGCCCUCCUGAUCCCCAUCGCCUUUAGUUUCCGAAGACCCAGGAGCAAGGCUUCGUACUCAGCAAUAUUAUUUGUGCAGCUGAAGUCCAGUCUUGCUGCAUAGCAAGUUUUAACCUUGGACGGUGAAACCAAAACAGCAGCUGCUCCUGCUCCGAAGGUUCCCCAGGAGCCAUCACAAAACACUGUCCAUGCUUCGGCAUCUUUAUUCGCUUCUUCGCCCUGAGCCCCUGGCGUCCAGUCGGCAAUAAAAUCUGCCAAUGCUUGAGACUGGAUCGAGGAUCUGUGCACAUAAUCAAUGUAAAAUUCAUUAAGCUCCGCAGCCCAUUUUCCAAUUCGGCCAGUAGCUUCUUUAUUUCUCAUGAUAUCUUUCAACGGCUGCGAAGAAGGAAUAAUAAUAUUAUAUGCCUGAAAAUAAUGCCGAAGCUUCCUGGAUGCCAUUAGAACGGCAUACAACACCUUCUCCAGUUCUGUAUAAUUUUUCUUUGAGACACUAAGGACCUCAGAUACAAAAUAUACUGGGACCUGCUUCUUGAUUUGUCCAUCAAACUUCUCCUGCACAAGUGCCGCACUUACUGCUGAGUGCGAAGCUGCCACAUACAACAACAGAGGAGCCCCUGGCAUUGGUGGAGUUAAUGUUGUUAGAUCUAUCAGGUAUUGCUUGAGUUCUUCGAAAGCUUUUUGUUGAGCUGGGCCCCAUUGAAAGACUUCAGCUGAUUUUAGCACCUCGAAGAAGGGUAGAUUUCUUUCCGCUGAUCUGGAUAUAAAUCUGUUAAGAGAUGCCAGUCUUCCUGUCAAUCUUUGGGCCCCCUUUCUUGUGGUUGGUGGCUCCAUUCGAAGUAUAGCUUCGAUUUUAUUUGGGUUAGCUUCAAUUCCCUUUGUUGAAACCAAGCAUCCAAGGAACUUACCCUUCUUUACUCCGAAGACACAUUUUUCUGGAUUCAGCUUCAGACCAGCUUGUCUGAAGCUGGCGAAGGUCUCCUGCAGAUCAGCAAUAUGGUCUUCUUGCUUCGUGCUUUUUACAAUAAUGUCAUCAACAUAGGUCAACACAUUUCUGCCUAUCUGAGAUUGGAGAACCUUCGCAGUCAUCCUGCUGAAACUCCCUCCAGCAUUCUUAAGCCCCUCAGGCAUCCGAAGAUAGCAAUAUGUACCACUUGGGGUUAUGAAACUAGUCUUCGGCUCAUCCUCCUUUUUCAUCCAGAUUUGAUGAUAGCCUGAGUAACAAUCCAGGAGACUCAUGAGUUCCGAAGAAGCUGCUGCAUCAACUAAAGAGUCUAUCCUUGGCAGCGGGAACUCAUCCUUCGGACAAGCCUUGUUGAGAUCUGUGAAAUCAAUACACAUUCUCCACUUUCCAUUGGCCUUCUUCACCAUAACAGUGUUAGCUAGCCAUUCUGGAUACUUCACUUCUCUGAUAACUCCUGCACUUAGGAGUCUUUUUACUUCGUUGCGAGCCCCUUCGGCCUUGUCAUCAGACAUUUUCCGAAGCCUCUGCUUGCGGGGUCUGAAGGAUGGGUCAACAUUGAGCGAAUGUUCAAUAACAUCCCGAUUCACUCCACAAAGAUCAUUGGCUGACCAUGCAAAAACAUCUUUAUUGUUGAAUAAAAACCUUAUCAAGGUUUUCUCUUGAUCUUCAGAUAAUUGCGAGCCCAAUAGCACCUUCUGCUCUGCUAUAUCCUCACACAGCAGCAUGGGCUUCGGCUGAUCAGCCGAAGCUGCUUUUUCCCUCCUGAACUUGUACUGUUCACAAGCUUCAACUCCAUCUAUAUUAUGGAUUGCCUUGGAAUCAGUCCAGCUUCCUUCGGCCCUUCUGGCAGCUUCCUGACUCCCAUGAAUAGCAAUAGGCCCUUGGUCCGAAGGUAUCUUCAUGCAGAGAUAAGCUGGGUGAAGAAUUGCUUCAAAAGCAUUUAGGGUACCACGACCAAUGAUGGCGUUGUAGGGGUAUUCCAUGUCAACAAUAUCAAACACAAUUUGCUCAGUCCUUGUGUUAUUAACAAAUCCGAAGGUUACCGGCAUGGUAAUCUUCCCGAGUGCCACAAUCUGCCGCCCUCCGAAGCCACAAAUAGGGUGCGUAGCAUCAUGAAUCUUGUCUUCAGGCUCUUGCAUCUGUCUGAAGGCUUUGGCAAAUAUAAUGUCAGCUGCACUGCCUGUGUCAACUAGGACAUUGUGAACCAGAAACCCUUUGAUCACACAAGAAAUGACCAUAGCAUCAUUGUGAGGAUAGUCCUUGAGCUGAAGAUCUUCCUGAGAGAAGGUAAUUGGAAUGUGAGACCAUUUUGACUUAAUGAAGGGUCCCUGCACUCCAACAUGCUGCACCCUUCUCUGAGCCUCCUUCUUUUGCUUUUUGUUAGCUGGCUCUGAGCAAGAACCGCCUGUUAUCGGGAGCACCAGCUUCGAAGCCGAAGCAGCUCCAGCUUGAGUGUUGAACGAAGCCAUCAGCUCAGAAAGGUGGAAGUGAGUUGACCGGAGGUGGGCGCCAAUGUUGGGGACUUGUUCUCAAAUGCUUCGAAUUAAGAACAAGGCAACACAGAAAAUGUUAAGUACUAAGGUCCUUCGUCCUUCAUAACGAUAUAUCCCUUCGGGAUAUAUAGCAUCUCGGACGAAGGUUGCAAAGAACAUACCUUCGUAAGCAUAACAACGAAGAAUAAAGCAUUCACAUAAAUCAUGAAAUAAACAUGUAAAUAUUAUCAUAGAAUUAUCUCUACUUGUAUUAAUGAAUAUAAAUAACUUUGAAGUACAAAUGUACCUUCGGUCUUGCGGAAGGCAAAAAGUACGAAUGUGAUGCGAAGGAAAAAAGCAGGUUCGCGUGAACAGUACAGAGGUACUGUUCAUCUAUUUAUAGACACAGGUCGCAGCCUGUGACAAAUUACAAUUAUGCCCCUUGCGGAAGUUUACAACAUUGACUCGGACAUACAUGUAUAAAAAGGUCAUUCUGCCUCUAUGUCGGUUUAAAACGCCGAAGCUCCAUGAAAAGGGACCUUCGGCCAUCUCUUAGAAACGACUUUGGCCGAAGCUGCUUCUUCGUGUGAAUAGGUCGUAUGAACGAACGAUGAACGAUGAAUAGGAACUAUGAACGAACGGACGAACGAUCGAAUGACCGGACGAACGAACGAUCGGAAUUUCGGCAGCAUAACGGCAGGACAAAGAUUAUCUGGAAGAACGAUGAAUAGGGACUAUGAACGAACGAUGAACGAUGAAUAGGAACUAUGAACGAACGAUGAAUAGGAACUAUGAACGAACGAUGAACGUUCGAAUGAUCGAACGAACGAACGAUCGGAAUUUCGGCAGCAUAACAGCAGGAAAAAGAUUAUUUGGACGAACGAACGAACGAUCGGAAUUUUGGCAGCAUAACGGCAGGACAAAGAUUAUCUGGAAGAACGAUGAAUAGGGACUAUGAACGAACGAUGAACGAUGAAUAGGAACUAUGAACGAACGAUGAACGAUCGAAUGAUCGAACGAACGAACGAUCGGAAUUUCGGCAGCAUAACGGUAGGAAAAAGAUUAUUUGGACGAACGAACGGAUGAACGAUCGAACGAUCGGACGAACGGACGAACGAACCAUGAACGAUCGGACGAACGAUCGGACGAACGAACGAACAAACUAAGAACAGGGGACGAACGAUCGAAGAACGACCGAACGAUCCUUGUGCUAGUGUGUGCUUGUGUGGAACAUGGAGUGGGUGUGUGUGGGGGGGGAAGAGAGUUGCCAUGAAAUGGCUUGGGGUGGGAUGAGAGGAGGCCCUUGCCCCUCUAUUUAUAGCCAUGGUGGGGGGAUUAGGGGGAGGGAUGAGAGAAUUAGUGGGAGGAUGAGAGGAUUAGUGGAAGAUUAGCAUGUAUUUGUCUUGUAAAGUGAGAUUAGCUUGUAGAGCUCAACGUAUGACACCGGAGGCAUACGUAUAUGUAUGAGCAUGAGGAAAGUAAUGAAGAAAAAUAUUUAUAGGGACUUGAAAAAUGAUUCUGAAGGUAUUUCUCAAGAGGAAAAUACUUGGAGAUAUAUCGGUGGAAUAUUUGGACAGUAUUUCUGGACAGAACUUGAAGGGGUUACUCGAGAAAUAUCUGGGCGGUAUUUCUAGAAACAAAUUGAGGGUGAUCACUGGGGAAAUAUUUGUAGGAUAUUUUGAGGAGGAUUUUGGAGAGAAUAUAGACCACUAUAUUUUAUUUGCUGAUAUCAACUCGCAAACAAACAUUUUAAAAUGAAAUUUGAAAUUCAUUUUGAAUUUAGAGCGAGUUUGAGAAAAUUUCAGGAUUUGAAUUUUUGGGAUGCUACACAAAGGUUACUUGGAAUUAAACCAAUUUAUAUUUUCAUAAGAUAUGCAUGGAUUGCUUUCUUCAUUUUAACAUUUUGGACCACGCUUGCACCACUUGUUUUUCAAAGUCUUUUUGCAAAUAGUUAAAGGUAUAUGAAUAAGAUUUCGAGAAGCAUUUUCAAGAUUUGAAAUUUUCUCCCCCUGUUUCAAAUGCUUUUCCUUUGACUGAACAAAACUCCCCCUCAAUGAAAUUCUCCUCAUAGUGUUCAAGAGGAUUUUAGAUAUUAAUUUUGAAAGAGGUCAUACCAAUUUGAAAUUAUAUAAAAAAUAAGAUACCAAUUGAAAAACUUCUUUUAAUACCAAUUGAAAGACUACAUUUACACAUUUUUGAAAUUGGUGGUGAUGCGGUCCUUUUGCUUUGGGCUAAUACUUUCUCCCCCUUUGGCAUGAAUCGCCAAAAACGGAUACUUUGUGAGUGAAAUAUAAGCCCUUAGUAAAUUCUCUCCCUCUUUGGCAAACAAUAUAUGAGUGAAGGAUUAUACCAGAGUGGAGAGCGAUGCAGUGUGAUGGCGAAGGAUAAAUAAUACGAUGGAGUGGAGUGGAAGUCUUGUCUUCGCUGAGAACUCCAUUUCCCUUUCAAUCUAUGACUUGGCAUAAAAUACACUUGACAACGGAUUAGUCAUAGCAAAUGAAAGAGAGAUGAUCAAAGGUACAUAAAUGAGCUAUGUGUGCAAAGUAUCAAUCAAAAAUCCUAGAAUCAAGAAUGUUUAGCUCAUGCCUAAGUUUGGUUAAGGUUUUCUCAUCUAGUGGUUUGGUAAAGAUAUCGGAUAAUUGUUCUUUGGUGCUAACAUAAGCAAUCUCGAUAUCCCCCUUUAUUGGUGAUCCCUCAAAAAGUGAUACCGAAUGGCUAUGUGCUUAGUGCGGUUGUGUUCAACGGGAUUAUCCGCCAUGCGGGUUGCACUCUCAUUAUCACAUAGGAGAGGGACUUUGGUCAAUUUGUAACCAUAGUCCCUAAGGGUUUGCCUCAUCCAAAGCAAUUGUGCGCAACAAUGGCCUGCGGCAAUGUACUCGGCUUCGGCGAUAGAAAGAGCUACAGAAGUUUGUUUCUUUGAAGCCCAAGACACCAGGGAUCUUUACAAGUCCCUGAUGUGCUCUUUCUAUCAAUCUUACACCCUGCCCAAUCAGCAUCUGAAUAACCUAUUAAAUCAAAAGUGGAUCCCUUGGGGUACCAAAGACCAAACUUAGGAGUAUGAACUAAAUAUCUCAAGAUUCGUUUCACGGUCCUAAGGUGAACUUCCUUAGGAUCGGCUUGGAAUCUUGCACACAUGCAUACGGAAAGCAUGAUAUCCGGUCGAGAUGCACAUAAAUAGAGUAAAGAUCCUAUCAUCGACCGGUAUUGAUAGUCGCCUAGAGGGGGGUGAAUAGGGCGAAACUGAAAUUUACAAAUAUAAACACAACUACAAGCCGGGUUAGCGUUAGAAAUGUAAACGAGUCCGCGAGAGAGGGCGCAAAACAAAUCGCAAGCAAAUGAAGAGUGUGACACGCGGAUUUGUUUUACCGAGGUUCGGUUCUCGCAAACCUACUCCCCGUUGAGGAGGCCACAAAGGCCGGGUCUCUUUCAACCCUUCCCUCUCUCAAACGGUCCCUCGGACCGAGUGAGCUUCUCUUCUCAAAUCAAAGCCGGGAAUAAAACUUCCCCGCAAGGGCCACCACACGAUUGGUGCCUCUUGCCUUGAUUACAAUUGAGUGUAGAUCACAAGAGCAAGUGAGAAAGAAAAGAAGCAAUCCAAGCGCAAGAGCUCAAAAGAACACGGCAAAUCUCUCUCGCUAAUCACUAAAGCCUUUUGUGGAAUUGGAGAGGAUUUGAUCUCUUUGGUGUGUCUAGAAUUGAAUGCCUAGCUCUUGUAAGUGGUUGAGAAGUGGAAAACUUGGAUGCAAUGAAUGGUGGGGUGGUUGGGGUAUUUAUAGCCCCAACCACCAACUUGACCGUUGGUGGAGGCCGUCUGUUUGAUGGCGCACCGGACAGUCCGGUGCCCCAGCCACGUCACCAGUUCCGUUGGAUUCCGACCGUUGAAGCUUCUGACUUCUGGGCCCGCCUUGAUGUCCGGUGGCGCACCGGACAUGUACUGUAGAGUGUCCGGUGCGCCAGCAUGGGCGUGUCUGACCUCUGCGCGCGCUGGCGCGCAAUAAAUGCGCUGCAGGUAGCCGUUGGCGCCUGAAGUAGCCGUUGCUCCGCAGAUGCACCGGACAGUCCGGUGUACACCGGACAGUCCGGUGAAUUAUAGCGGAGCGGCUGAAGUGAAAACCCGAGGCUGGCGAGUUCCUGAGGCCGCCCUUCCUUGGAGCACCGGACAGUUCGGUGCACACCGGACAAUCCGGUGAAUUAUAGCGGAGUGGUCUCUGGAAAAUCCCGAAGCCGAGCAGUUCGAAGUUGGAGUCCCCUGGUGCACCGGACAUGUCCGGUGGCACACCGGACAGUCCGGUGCGCCACACCAGAGAAGCCUUCUGUUGCUCCUUUGCUCUUGUGUUGAACCCAACUUUUGGUCUUUUUAUUGGCUAAGUGUGAACAUUUUGCACCUGUAUAACUUAUACACUGGAGCAAACUAGUUAGUCCAAUAUUUGUGUUGGGCAAUUCAACCACCAAAAUUAUUUAGGAACUAGGUGAAAGCCUAAUUCCCUUUCAGGUAUACCUUUUGAUCUAUGGAUUUACCUCCUGUGUCGAGGUCGAGAUGCCCAUUGGUUCCCAUGGGUGUCUUGAUGGGCUUGGCAUCCUUCAUUCCAAACUUGGUGAGUAUGUCUUGAAUGUACUUCGUUUGGCUGAUGAAGGUGCCCUCUUGAAGUUGCUUGACUUGAAAUCCUAGAAUGUACUUCAACUCCCCCAUCAUAGACAUCUCGAAUUUUUGUACCAUUAUCCUACUAAACUCUUCACAAGUAGAUUUGUUAGUAGACCCAAAUAUGAUAUCAUCAACAUAAAUUUGGCAUAUAAACAAAUCAUUUGCAAUAGUUUUAGUAAAGAGAGUAGGAUCAACUUUUCCGACUUUGAAGCCAUUAGUGAUAAGAAAAUCUCUUAGGCAUUCAUACCAUGCUCUUGGGACUUGCUUGAGCCCAUAAAGCGCCUUAGAGAGUUUGUAAACAUGGUUAGGAUACUCACUAUCUUCAAAGCCGGGAGGUUGCUCAACAUAGACCUCCUCCUUGAUUGGUCCAUUGAGGAAGGCACUUUUCACGUCCAUUUGAUAGAGCUUAAAGCCAUGGUAAGUAGCAUAGGCAAGCAAUAUACGAAUUGACUCAAGCCUAGCUACGAGUGCAUAGGUUUCACCGAAAUCCAAACCUUCGACUUGUGAAUAACCCUUGGCCACAAGUCGAGCUUUGUUCCUUGUCACCACACCAUGCUCAUCUUGCUUGUUGCGGAAGACACACUUGGUUCCUACAACAUUUUGGUUAGGACGUGGAACAAGAUGUCAUACCUCAUUCCUCGUGAAGUUGUUGAGUUCCUCUUGCAUUGCCAACACCUAAUCUGAAUCCCUUAAUGCGUCUUCCACCCUGUAUGGCUCAAUAGAAGACACAAAGGAGUAGUGUUCACAAAAAUGAGCAACACGAGAUCGAGUGGUUACCCCUUAUGAAUAUCGCCGAGGAUGGUGUUCAUGGGGUGAUCUCGUUGUAUUGCUUGGUGGACUCUUGGGUGUGGCGGUUUUGGACCCUCAUCAUCUUCCUUGUCUUGAUCAUUGACAUCUCCCCCUUGAUCAUUGUCCUCCUCUUGAGGUGGCUCCUCUUGAUCUUCAUUUUCAUCAUCUUGAGCUUGAUCCUCAUCUUGGGUUGGUGGAGAUGCUUGCAUGGAAGAUGAAGGUUGAUCUUGUGCAUGUGGAGGCUCCUCGGAUUCUUUAGGACACACGUCCCCAAUGGACAUGUUCCUUAGCGCGAUGCACGGGGCCUCUUCAUCAUCUAGCUCAUCAAGAUCAACUUGCUCUACUUGAGAGCCGUUAGUCUCAUCAAACACAAUGUCACAAGAAACUUCAACUAGUCCAGUGGACUUGUUAAAGACUCUAUAUGCCCUUGUGUUUGAGUCAUAACCAAGUAAAAAGCCUUCUACAACCUUAGGAGCAAAUUUAGAUUUUCUACCUCUUUUAACAAGAAUAAAACAUUUGCUACCAAAGACUCUAAAAUAUGAAACAUUGGGCUUUUUACCGGUAAGGAGUUCAUACGAUGUCUUCUUGAGGAUUCGGUGAAGGUAGAGACGGUUGAUGGCGUAGCAAGCGGUGUUGAUUGCUUCCGCCCAAAACCUGUCCGAAGUCUUGUACUCAUCAAGCAUGGUCCUCGCCAUGUCAAGUAGAGUUCUAUUUUUCCUCUCCACUACACCAUUUUGUUGUGGUGUGUAGGGAAAAGAGAACUCAUGCUUGAUGCCCUCGUCCUCAAGAAAGCCUUCUAUUUGAGAGUUCUUGAACUCCGUCCUGUUGUCGCUUCUAAUCUUUUUGAUCCUUAAGUCGAACUCAUUUUGAGCCCGUCUCAAGAAUCCCUUUAAGGUCUCUUGGGUUUGAGAUUUAUCCUAAAAAAGAACACCCAAGUGAAGUGAGAAUAGUCAUCCACAAUAACUAGACAGUACUUACUCCUGUCGAUGCUUAUGUAAGCUAUCGGGCCGAAUAGGUGAAAGCGAAAUGUGCCCUUGGGCCAUUUCUAAGUAUUUUGGUGAUUAAGUGUCCAACACAAGUGCUUAAGUGUUAAAUUGUGCCAAGGACUCAAGAAGUACAAAUCAAGAUUAAAGGUAUGUUUCUAGACUUAGUACAUUGUUUUUAAGACUAAUGUAUUGUGUCUAAGUGCUAGAAACAGGAGAAACAAUUUUUGGAGAAGUUGGCUGUGUACAGCCAAAAGGCUGCUCGGUCUGGGUGCACCGGACUGUCUGGUGGUGCACCGGACAGUGUCCGGUGCGCCAGGCUGGCGGCUGUCAACUGGCUGCUCUCGGGACUUCGAUGGCGGUGUACGGCUAUAAAUCACCGGACUGUCUGGUGAGCCAACAGUCAGCCGGGCCAACGGUCGGCCGCAUAAUCCGCGCGCGACGCGUGGCAAGAGCCAACGGUCAGAAGGGGCACCGGACUAUCCGGUGCGCACCGGACAGUGUCCUGUGUGCCAACGGCUCCAAAGCGCCAACGGUCGGCUUUGCCAAAGAAGGAAAGAAAUCCGCACCGGACAGUGUCCGGUGGUGCACCGAACUGUUCGGUGCGCCAGGCGACAGAAGGCAAGAAUUGCCUUCUUGAAAUGCUCUCAACGGCUCCUAGCUACCUUGGGGCUAUAAAAGGGAUCCCUAGGCGCAUGGAGGAGAAUACCAAGCAUUCCUUGAGCAUUGUUGAUCACUCACACUUCAUUCUUGCGCACUUGUUCGACAUUCUUAGUGAUUUAAGCUCCGUUCUAUUGAGAACCUCGAGAUAUUGUCUUGAGCUCAAGUCUUGGUUUUGUGUGUGCGUAUUUGCUGUGGAUUUGAGUGUGUUGCUUCCCUCCCUUACUCGUGUGCUUCAUAUUGAUUCUUAUUGUAAGGGCGAGAGACUCCAAGUUGUGGAGAUUCCUCGCAAACGGGAAAAGAGUAAAGUAAAGAAGAACACCGUGGUAUUCAAGUUGAUCUUUGGAUCACUUGAGAGGAGUUGAGUGCAACUCUCGUCCGUUGGGACGCCACAACGUGGAGUAGGCAAGUUUUGUACUUGGCCGAACUACGGGAUAAAUCCUCGUGUCUCUUGUGCUUGUCCUUACUGUUUCUAUUGGGUCUCACAAAAGAACUCCUCUCUAGUCACAUGGCCUUAUUGUGCUAACACCUAAUCAAGUUUUGUUGGAUUAAAUUUUAAGUUUUACAGGAUCACCUAUUCACCCCCCUCUAGGUGCUCUCAAUUGGUAUCGGAGUCGUUCUCUUCAAGAAAAGGACUAAUCGCUCGAAGAGACGGAUCCUAAGGGCAAGGGGAUGGUGGUCAAUGAUAAGGAGAAGGAGUCCUUCGUCAAUGAUCCAAAGGAUGACAAGCCUACUGACUCAGGCUCGGGCCACAAAAGAAAAGACGGGAGGAAGAAGAAAACAAGGCGCAUCAAGGAGAUAGUCUACUACGACAGCGACGAAUCUUCCUCUUCCCAAAAGGACGACUACAACGACUACGAGAAAAAGAAGAUGGUUAAUUCAAACUUUUCCUUUGAUUAUUCUCAUAUUCCGCAAAGUUCUAAUGCUCAUUUGCUUUCCAUUCCCCUCGGCAACCCCCCACUUUGAUGGAGAGGACUACGGAUUUUGGAGUCACAAAAUGCGUAGCCACUUGUUCUCUCUCCAUCCAAGUAUAUGGGAGAUAGUGGAAAUGGAAUGCACUUUGAUAGUACGGAUAGUCCCAUGCUCAUUAAUGGGCAAAUUCACAAAAAUGCACAAGCUACUACUGUUCUUCUAGCUUCAUUGUGCAGGGAUGAAUACCAUAAGGUGAGCGGCUUGGAUAACGCCAAGCAGAUUUGGGACACCCUCAAAAUCUCACAUGAGGGGAACGACGUCACCAUGCUCACCAAGAUGGAGUUGGUAGAGGGCGAACUUGGGAGAUUCGCAAUGAUCAGGGGCGAGGAGCCAACCCAAACGUACAACCGGCUCAAUACCCUCGUCAACAAAAUAAGGAGCUAUGGAAGCACGCGAUGGACGAACCACGACGUCGUCCGCCUAAUGCUAAUGUCUUUUACUGUCCUUGAUCCACAUCUUGUGAACAAUAUUCGUGAGAAUCCUAGGUACACCAAGAUGACACCCGAGGAGAUACUUGGAAAGUUCGUAAGCGAGCGGAUGAUGAUCAAGGAGGCUAGAUACGUUGAUGAUGCGUUGAAUGGCCCAAUCCAAGAGCCUCAAACCAUUGCUCUCAAAGCGACGAGGAGCAAGGAGGCGCUACCUAGCAAGGUGGCACAAGUUGAGGCGGUCGGGCUUAAUGAUGAAGAAAUGACCCUCAUCAUUAAGCGUUUCAAGACGGCGCUAAGGGGUCGCAAGGAGCAUCCAAACAAGACCAAGACGAAGGGGAAGCGCUCAUGCUUCAAAUGUGGUAAGAUUGGUCAUUUUAUCGCUAACUAUCCCGAUAAUGAUAGUGACCAGGAACAAGGGAACAAGAGGGAAAAGAAGAAGGCGUACAAGAAGGCUAAGGGCGAGGCACACCUUGGAAAGGAGUGGGACUCGGAUUGCUCGUCGUCCGACUCCGACAACGAAGGACUUGCCGCCACCGCCUUCAACAAGUCGGCCCUCUUCCCCAACGAGCAUCACACCUGCCUCAUGGCAAGGGAAAAGAAGGUAAGCACUCGUGAUACUAGUACUUACGCUUCCUCAAGUGAUGAAGAAUCUAGCGAUGAUGAAAUAGACUAUUCAUGUUUAUUCAAGGGCCUAGAUAGAACUAAGGUUGAUAAGAUUAAUGAAUUAAUUGAUGCCUUGAAUGAUAAAAAUAGGUUAUUAGAAAAGCAAGAGGAUCUUUUGUAUGAAGAACAUGAUAAAUUUGUAGAGGCACAAAAAUCUCUUGCUUUAGAAGUUAAAAGGAAUGAAAUGCUUUCUUGUGAACUAUCUACUUGCCAUGAGACAAUUUCUAGUUUAAAAAGUGUUAAUGAUGAUUUGAAUGCAAAACUAGAAGUAGCAAUUAAAUCUAACUCUGGUGUAGAACAUGUUGUGAUUUGCAAUAGGUGUAAAGAUUUUAAUAUUGAUGCUUGUAGUGAACACCUAGUUUCUAUUGCAAAGUUAAAUGAUGAAGUGGCUAGUCUUAAUGCCCAACUUAAGACUAGCAAGGAUGAAUUUGACAAACUAAAAUUUGCAAGGGAUGCCUACACGAUUGGUAGACACCCCUCAAUUAAGGAUGGUCUUGGCUUCAAGAGGGAAGUCAAGAACUUAACAAGCCAUAAGGCUUCCAUCUCCGCCAAGGAGAAAGGGAAGGCCCCUAUGGCUAGUAGUGCUCAAAAGAACCAUGCUUUCAUGUAUCAUGAUAGGAGACAUUCUAGGAAUGUGUAUAGAAGUUAUGAUGCUUUUGAUUCUCAUGCCAUGAUUGCUUCAAGUUCUUCUAUUAUGCAUGAUAGAAAUUUGGCUAGGAAAAAUGUUGUUCAUCAUAUGCCAAGAAGAAAUAUUGUUCAUGUUCCUAGGAAAGUAACGAAUGAACCUUCUACAAUUUAUUAUGCUUGCAAUGCUUCCUUUGCUAUUUGUAGAAAGGAUAAGAAGGUAAUUGCUAGGAAAUUAGGGGCCAAAUGUAAGGGAGACAAGACUUGCAUUUGGGUCCCUAAGACUAUUAUAACUAACCUUGUAGGACCCAACAUGAGUUGGGUACCUAAGACCCAAACCAAAAUUUGCCUUGCAGGUUUAUGCAUCCGAGGGCUCAAGCUGGAUUAUCGAUAGCGGAUGCACAAACCACAUGACGGGGGAAAAGAGUAUGUUCCCUUCCUACGUCAAGAACAAGGAUCCCCAAGAUUCAAUCAUAUUCGGUGAUGGGAACCAAGGCAAGGUGAAAGGGUUAGGAAAAAUUGCUAUUUCAUCCGAGCACUCUAUUUCUAAUGUGUUCUUAGUUGAGUCGCUUGGAUAUAACUUGUUGUCUGUGAGUCAACUUUGUAAUAUGGGAUAUAACUGUUUAUUCACAAAUGUAGAUGUGUCUGUCUUUAGAAGAAGUGAUGGUUCAUUAGCUUUUAAGGGUGUACUAGACGGCAAACUUUAUUUAGUUGAUUUUGCAAAAGAGGAGGCUGGUCUAGAUGCAUGCUUAAUUGCUAAGACUAGCAUGGGCUGGCUGUGGCAUCGCCGUUUAGCACAUGUGGGGAUGAAGAACCUUCACAAGCUUCUAAAGGGAGAACACGUGAUAGGUCUAACUAAUGUAACUUUCGAAAAAGAUAGACCUUGUGCAGCUUGUCAAGCAGGUAAACAGGUGGGAAGCUCUCAUCAUGCCAAAAAUGUGAUGACAACAUCAAGACCCCAGGAGUUACUUCAUAUGGACCUCUUCGGACCCAUCGCCUAUCUAAGUAUAGGAGGAAGUAAGUAUGGUCUUGUUAUAGUUGAUGAUUUUUCCCGCUUCACUUGGGUAUUCUUUUUGCAGGAUAAAUCUGAAACCCAAGGGACCCUCAAGCGCUUCCUGAGGAGAGCCCAAAACGAGUUCGAGCUCAAAGUGAAGAAGAUAAGGAGCGACAAUGGGUCCGAGUUCAAGAACCUUCAAGUGGAGGAGUAUCUUGAGGAGGAAGGAACCAAGCACGAGUUCUCCGCUCCCUACACACCACAGCAAAAUGGUGUGGUAGAGAGGAAGAACAGGACGCUACUAGACAUGGCGAGGACGAUGCUUGGUGAAUUCAAGACGCCCGAACGGUUUUGGACGGAAGCCGUGAGCACGGCUUGCCACGCCAUAAAUUGGGUCUAUCUUCAUCGCCUCCUCAAGAAGACUUCAUAUGAGCUUCUAACCGGUAACAAACCAAAUGUGUCGUACUUUCAUGUAUUUGGGAGCAAGUGUUACAUUCUAGUGAAGAAAGGUAGGAAUUAUAAGUUUGCUCCCAAAGCUGUAGAAGGGUUUUUGUUAGGUUAUGACUCAAAUACAAAGGCGUAUAGGGUCUUCAACAAAUCAUCGGGUUUGGUUGAAGUCUCUAGCGACGUUGUAUUUGAUGAGACUAAUGGCUCUCCAAGAGAGCAAGUUGUUGAUCUUGAUGAUGUAGAUGAAGAAGACGUUCCAACGGCCGCAAUGCGCACCAUGGCGAUUGGAGAUGUGAGGCCACUGGAACAAAAAAAGCAAGAUCAACCUUCUUCCUCGACAACGGUGCAACCCCCAACUCAAGAAGAUGAACAGGUUCAUCAAGAGGAGGUGUGUGAUCAAGGGGGAGCACAAGAUGAUCAUUUAAUGGAGGAAGAAGCACAACCAGCACCUCCAACCCAAGUUCGAGCGAUGAUUCAAAGGAAUCAUCCCAUCGACCAAAUAUUGGGUGACAUAAGCAAGGGAGUAACUAUUCGUUCUAGAUUAGUUAAUUUUUGUGAGCAUUACUCCUUUGUCUCUUCUAUUGAGCCUUUCAGGGUAGAAGAGGCCUUGCUAGAUCCGGACUGGGUGUUGGCCAUGCAAGAGGAGCUCAACAACUUCAAGAGAAAUGAAGUUUGGACACUGGUGCCUCGUCCCAAGCAAAACAUUGUGGGAACCAAGUGGGUGUUUUGCAACAAACAAGACAAGCACGGGGUGGUGACAAGGAACAAGGCACGACUUGUGGCAAAAGGUUAUGCCCAAGUCACAGGUUUGGACUUUGGGGAGACUUUUGCUUCUGUGGCUAGGCUAGAGUCAAUUCACAUAUUGUUAGCCUAUGCUGCUCACCAUUCUUUUAGGUUGUUCCAAAUGGAUGUGAAGAGCGCUUUCCUCAACGGGCCAAUCAAGGAGGAGGUGUACGUGGAGCAACCCCCUGGCUUUGAGGAUGAACGGUACCCCGACCACAUAUGUAAGCUCUCUAAGGCGCUCUAUGGACUUAAGUAAGCCCCAAGAGCAUGGUAUGAAUGCCUUAGAGACUUUUUAAUUGCCAAUGCUUUCAAGGUUGGGAAAGCCGAUCCAACUCUUUUUACUAAGACUUGUGAUUGUGAUCUUUUUGUGUGCCAAAUUUAUGUCGAUGACAUAAUAUUUGGUUCUACUAACCAAAAGUCUUGUGAAGAAUUUAGCAGGGUGAUGACCCAAAAGUUUGAGAUGUCGAUGAUGGGCGAGUUAAGCUAUUUCCUUGGGUUCCAAGUGAAGCAACUCAAGGAUGGGACCUUCAUCUCCCAAACGAAGUACACGCAAGACUUGAUCAAGCGGUUUGGGAUGAAGGAUGCCAAGCCCGCAAAGACUCCAAUGGGAACCAACGGACACACUGACCUCAACAAAGGAGGUAAGUCCGUUGAUUAAAAAGCAUACCGGUCUAUGAUAGGUCCUUACUUUAUUUAUGUGCUAGUAGACCGGAUAUAAUGCUUAGCGUAUGCAUGUGUGCUAGAUUUCAAUCCGAUCCAAGGGAGUGUCACUUUGUGGCCGUGAAGCGAAUUCUUAGAUAUUUAGUCGCUACGCCUUGCUUCGGGAUCUGGUAUCCAAAGGGGUCUACCUUUGACUUGAUUGGAUAUUCAGAUUCCGAUUAUGCUGGAUGUAAGGUCGAUAGGAAGAGUACAUCAGGGACGUGCCAAUUCUUAGGAAGGUCCCUGGUGUCGUGGAGUUCUAAGAAACAAACCUCUGUUGCCCUAUCCACCGUUGAGGCCGAGUAUGUUGCCGCAGGCCAGUGUUGCGCGCAACUACUUUGGAUGAGGCAAACCCUCAGGGACUUUGGCUACAAUCUGAGCAAAGUCCCACUCCUAUGUGAUAAUGAGAGUGCUAUCCGCAUGGUGGAUAAUCCUGUUGAACACAACCGCACAAAGCACAUUGACAUCCGGCAUCACUUUUUGAGAGACCACCAGCAAAAGGGAGAUAUCGAAGUGUUUCAUGUUAGCACCGAGAACCAGCUAGCCGAUAUCUUUACCAAGCCUCUAGAUGAGUCAACCUUUUGCAAGCUGCGUAGUGAGCUAAAUGUCUUAGAUUCGCAGAACCUGGAUUGAUUUAUAGCAUACAUGUGUUUUAUGCCUUGAUCAUGUUCCUUAAUGCAUUUUAUUGUUUAUUUAUGGUACUCAAGUUGUACAAGCACUCCCCGGACCUCACAAGUCCAUUUGCAAGUGAUGCACAUAUUUAGGGGGAGAUGUGCUACAACUUGACCCUUUGAGACUAACUGUGUGCUUGAGUUUGCUUAAUUUUGUCUCAAAGGAGGUUUGAAAGGGAAAAGGUGGACUUGGACCAUGCAAGACAUCCACUGCACUCCGAUGAAAGAGUAACUGAUUCCAAGUUCAUCUUUGUACUCUUAUUGCCUUUUUACUCUUAGUUGAAGAUUUUGGUGAGGCAAUGGGUUAAAGGGCCAAGAUUGAUCCCGUUUUGGUGCUUGAUGCCAAAGGGGGAGAAAAUAAGGCCAAAGCAACAAAUGGAUCAGCUACCACUUGAGAAUUUUGAAAAUAGUAGAAUAGAGUUUUUGGUUUGGUUUGUCAAAAAUCUCUUAUUGUCUCUUUUGACAAAAGUUGGCCUCUUGUGGGGAGAAUGGUUGAUUAUGGGAAAAGGGGGAGUUUUUGAAAUCUUUGAUCAAUUUCUCUUGGAACAACUCUCUUUAUGUCUCAACAUGUGUGUUUGACUUAGAGAUAGGAAAUUGAGUUUGAUUUGCAAAAACAGAACCAAGUGGUGGCAAAGGACGAUCCAAAUAUGCCAAAUUUGAGUUUUCAUUUGCAGUGAUGUUGCACUUCUUUUAGUUGUUUUUAUUGUGUUGGCAUAAAUCACCAAAAAUGGGGAGAUUGAAAGGGAAAUGUGCCCUUGGGCCAUUUCUAAGUAUUUUGGUGAUUAAGUGUCCAACACAAGUGCUUAAGUGUUAAAUUGUGCCAAGGACUCAAGAAGUACAAAUCAAGAUUAAAGGUAUGUUUCUAGACUUAGUACAUUGUUUUUAAGACUAAUGUAUUGUGUCUAAGUGCUAGAAACAGGAGAAACAAUUUUUGGAGAAGUUGGCUGUGUACAGCCAAAAGGCUGCUCGGUCUGGGUGCACUGGACUGUCCGGUGGUGCACCAGACAGUGUCCGGUGCACCAGGCUGGCGGCUGUCAACUGGCUGCUCUCGGGACUUCGACGACGGUGUACGGCUAUAAAUCAUCGUACUGUCUGGUGGUGCACCGGACUGUCCGGUGAGCCAACAAUCGGCCGGGCCAACGGUCGGCCGCAUAAUCCGCGUGCGACGCGUGGCAAGAGCCAACGGUCAGAAGGGGCACCGGACUGUCCAGUGCGCCAACGGCUCCAAAGCGCCAACGGUCGGCUUCACCAAAGAAGGAAAGAAAUCCGCACCGGACAGUGUCCGGUGGUGCACCGGACUGUCCGGUGCGCCAGGCGACAGAAGGCAAGAAUUGCCUUCUUGAAAUGCUCUCAACGGCUCCUAGCUGUCUUGGGGCUAUAAAAGGGACCCCUAGGCGCAUGGAGGAGAAUACCAAGCAUUCCUUGAGCAUUGUUGAUCACUCACACUUCAUUCUUGCGCACUUGUUCGACAUUCUUAGUGAUUUGAGCUCCGUUCUAGUGAGAACCUCGAGAUAUUGUCUUGAGCUCAAGUCUUGGUUUUGUGUGUGCGUAUUUGCUGUGGAUUUGAGUGUGUUGCUUCCCUCCCUUACUCGUGUGCUUCAUAUUGAUUCUUAUUGUAAGGGCGUGAGACUCCAAGUUGUGGAGAUUCCUCGCAAACGGGAAAAGAGUAAAGUAAAGAAGAACACCGUGGUAUUCAAGUUGAUCUUUGGAUCACUUGAGAGGAGUUGAGUGCAACUCUCGCCCGUUGGGACGCCACAACGUGGAGUAGGCAAGUUUUGUACUUGGCCGAACCACGGGAUAAAUCCUCGUGUCUCUUGUGCUUGUCCUUACUGUUUCUAUUGGGUCUCACAAAAGAACUCCUCUCUAGUCACUUGGCCUUAUUGUGCUAACACCUAAUCAAGUUUUGUUGGAUUAAAUUUUAAGUUUUACAAGAUCACCUAUUCACCCCCCUCUAGGUGCUCUCAAUAGGUCCAUGUGGAGUAGCUCAAGUGGCCUGUCGGUCGUCAUGAUGUUUUUGUGUGGAUGAUGAACACCAACUUGCUUCCCUGCUUGACAUGCGCUACAAAUCUUGUCUUUCUCAAAAUGAACAUUUGUUAGUCCCAAAAUGUGCUCUCCCUUUAGAAGUUUAUGAAGAUUCUUCAUCCCAACGUGGGCUAGUCGACGAUGCCAGAGCCAACUCAUGUUAGUCUUAGCAAUUAAGCAAGUGUCGAGUUCAGCUCUAUUAAAAUCAACUAGGUAUAGCUGACCGUCUAACAUUCCCUUAAAUGCUACUGAAUCAUCACUCCUUCUAAAUACAGUAACACCUAUAUCCGUAAAAAGACAAUUGUAGCCCAUUUUGCAUAAUUGAGAAACUGAAAGCAAGUUAUUGUCUAAAGAUCUACAAGAAAAACAUUGGAAAUAGAAUGAUCAGGUGAUAUAGCAAUUUUACCAAGUCCUUUGACCAAACCUUGAUUUCCAUCCCUGAAUGUGAUAGCUCGUUGGGGAUCAUGGUUUUUCUCAUAGGAGGAGAACAUCAUUUUCUGCCCUGUCAUGUGGUUUGUGCACCCGCUAUCGAUGAUCCAACUUGAGCCCCCGGAUGCAUAAACCUACAAAACAAGUUUAGGCCUUGUUCUUAGGUACCCAAACGGUCUUGGGUCCUUUCACAUUAGAAAAAAGCACCUUGGGUACCCAAACACAAGUCUUUGAACCCUUGUGUUUGCCCACAACAUAUUUGGCAACUAUUUUGCCUGAUUUGUUAGUGAGCACAUAAGAAGCAUCAAAAGUCUUAAAUGAAAUGUUAGACUCAUUUGAUGCAAUAGGAGAUUUCUUUUUAAGCAUUUUAACAUGGGUAGAACGCCUAAGCUAGAAGCCUCAUUUUUAUAAAUAAAAGCAUGGUGAGAAACAGUAUGAGUCUUCUUAGCAUGAAUUCUCCUAAUCUUAUCCUCAGGAUAACCAGCAGGAUAUAAAAUAUAGCCCUCGUUAUCCUAAGGCAUGGGAGCCUUGCCCAUAACAAAAUUAGACAGUCUUUUAGGGGCAUUGAGUUUGACAUUGCCUCCCUGUUGGAAGCUAAUGCCAUCCUUAAUGCCAGGGCGUCUCCCACUAUAAAGCAUACUACGAGCAAAUUUAAAUUUUUUAUUCUCUAAUUCAUGCUCAACAAUUUUAGCAUCUAAUUUUGCUAUAUGAUCAUUUUGUUGUUUAAUCAUAGCAACGUGAUCAUGGAUAGCAUCAACAUUAACAUCUCUACAUCUAGUGCAAAUAGAGACAUGACUAACAGUAGAUAUAGAGGGUUUGCAAGCAUUUAAUUCAUCAAUCUUAGCAUGUAAAAUAAUAUUCUCAUCUCUAAUAUUGGAAAUAGAAAUAUUGCAAACAUUUAAAUCUUUGGCCUUAGCAAUUAAUUUUUCAUUCUCAAUUUUAAGGCUAGAGAGUGAUGCAUUCAACUUGUCAAUCUUAGUAAUCAAACUAGCAUUAUCAUUUCUAAGACUAACAAUUGAAUCAUCACAAACAUCUAACUUCUCAACCUUAGCAAUUAAUUUUGCAUUUUCAUUUCUAAGGUUUGAGAUAAUAUCAUGGCAAGUGCUUAGCUCACUAGUCAAUUUUUCACACUUCUCUACUUCCUGAGCAUAAGCAUUUUUAACCUUAACAUGCUUUUUGUUCUUCUUAAUAAGGAAGUCCUCUUGGCUAUCCAAGAGUUCAUCCUUCUCAUGAAUAGAACCUAUCAAUUCAUUUAAUUUUUCCUUUUGUUGCAUGUUUAGGUUGGCAAAAAGGGCAAGCAAAUUAUCUUCAUCAUCACUAGAGUUUUCCUCAUCACUAGAUGUUGCAUAUUUAGUGGAGGCUCUAGAUUUUACCUUCUUUUUGUCGUCCUUUGCCAUGAGGCACUUGUGGCCGACGUUGGGGAAGAGGAGACCCUUGUUGACGGUGAUGUUUGCGGCGUCCUCGUCGGAGGAGGAGUCGGUGGAGCUCUCAUCGAAGUCCCACUCUGGGCAAACAUGGGUAUCGCCGCCCUUCUUCUUGUAGUAUCUCUUCUUUUCUCUUCUCUUUCCCUUCUUGUCGUCUCCCCUGUCACUAUCACUAGAUAAUGGACAUUUAGCAAUGAAAUGACCGGGCUUACCACACUUGUAGCAAACUUUCUUGGAGUGGGGCUUGUAGUCCUUCCCCCUCCUUUGCUUGAGGAUUUGGCGGAAAUUUUUGAUGAUGAGCGCCAUCUCCUCAUUGUCGAGUUUGGAGGCAUCGAUGGGGAGCCUACUUGAUGUAGACUCUUCUUUCUUCUCCUCCGUUGCUUUGAAGGCAACGAGUUGCACCUCGGUUGUGGAGGUGGCGCCUCACUCGAUGAUUAGUUUGGAGCCUUUGAUCAUCAAUUCAAAGCUCACAAACUUUCCUAUAACUUCCUCGGGAGACAUUAGCUUAUAUCUAGGAUCACCACAAAUUAAUUGAACUUGUGUAGGGUUAAGAAAAACAAGUGAUAGUAGAAUAACCUUGACCAUUUCAUGGUCAUCCCAUUUUGUGCUCCCGAGGUUGCGCACUUGAUUCACCAAGGUCUUGAUCCGGUUGUACAUGGCUUGUGGCUCCUCCCCUUGGUUGAGCAUGAAUCGACCGAGCUCCCACUCGAUCGUUUCCCGCUUAGUGAUCUUGGUCACCUCAUCUCCUUCGUGCGCGGUCUUGAGCACAUCCCAAAUCUCUUUGGCACUCUUCAACCCUUGCACCUUAUUAUACUCCUCUCGAUUUAGAGAGGUGAGGAGUAUAGUAGUUGCUUGGGAAUUGAAGUGUCGGAUUUGGGCGACUUCGUCCUCAUCAUAAUCUUCAUCACCUACGGAUGGUACCUGUGCUCCAAAUUCAACAAUGUCCCAUAUGCUUGUGUGGAGUGAGGUUAGGUGAUACUUCAUCAUUUCACUCCACCUACUAUAAUCUUCACCAUCAAAAACCGGUGGUUUGCCUAAUGGGACGGAAAGUAAAUGAGUAUGUUUAGAAAUGCGAGGGUAGUGUAGGGGGAUCUUACUAAACUUCUUGCGCUCAUGGCGCUUAGAAGUGACGGACGGUGUGUCGGAGCCGGAGGUGGAAGGCGACGAAGAAUCGGUCUCGUAGUAGACCACUUUCUUCAUUUUCUUCUUCUUGUCGCCACUCUGGUGCGACUUGACGCGGGGAGGUGAUUCCUCCCUCUUAUUGUUGCCGGACUCUCCCGAUGGAGCUUUCCCGUGGCUUGUGACGGGCUUCUUGCCGGUCACCAUCUCCUUCUUGGCGUGAGCUCCCGACAUCACUUCGAGCGGUUAGGCUCUUAAUGAAGUAUCAGGCUCUGAUACCAAUUGAAAGUCACCUAGAGGGGGGUGAAUAGGCAAAUCUGAUUUUUAUAAACUUUAAGCACAACUACAAGCCGGGGUUAGUGUUAGAAAUAAAGUCGAGUCCAAAAGAGAGGGUGAAAACAAAUCACGAGCAAAUAAAGCGAAUGACACGGUGAUUUGUUUUACCGAGGUUCGGUUCUUGCAAACCUACUCCCCGUUGAGGUGGUCACAAAGACCGGAUCUCUUUAAACCCUUUCCCUCUCUCAAACGGUCACUUAGACUGAGUGAGCUUCUCUUCUUAAUCAAUUGGGACACUUAGUCCCCACAAGGACCACCACACAAUUGGUGUCUCUUGCUUUGAUUACAAAUGGCUUGGGAAUAAGAAAUGGGGAAGAAGAAAAGUGAUCCAAGCGCAAGAGCUCAAAAGAACACGGCAAAACUCUCUCUUCUAGUCACUAAUUGCUUUGAGUGGAAUUGGGACUUGGAGAGAUUUUGAUUCAAUCUAUUUGUGUCUUGUAUUGAAUGCACUAGCUCUUGUAUUGAAUGUGUUGGCUGAAAACUUGGAUACCUUGAAGUGUGGUGGUUGGGGGGUAUUUAUAGCCCCAACCAACAAAGUGGUCGUUGGGGAAGGCUGCUGUCGAAGGGCGCACCGGACAGUCCGGUGCGCCACUGGACACUAUCCGGUGCGCCAGCCACGUCACCCAACCGUUAGGGUUCUACCGUCGGAGCUCUGACAAGUGAGGCCAUCGGACAGUCCGGUGGUGCAUCGGACAAUCACUGUUCACUGUCCGGUGCGCCUUUUGGCGCCUGCUCUCACUUCUGCGCGUGCAGUCCGCACUGUUCACUGUUACUGUACACUUUUGCAGACGACCAUUGGCGCUGUUAGCCGUUGCUCCGCUGGCACACCGGACAGUCCGACGCUACAUCCGACAGUCUGGUGAAUUAUAGCGGAGUGGCAUUCCCAGAAACCCGAAGGUGGCGACGGUGCGCCAGACCAGGGCAGCCUUCAGUUGGUUUUGCUCCUUUUUAUUUAAACCCUUUCUUGGACUUUUUAUUGGUUUGUGUUGAACCUUUGGCACCUGUAGAACUUAUAAUCUAGAGCAAACUAGUUAGUCCAAUUAUUUGUGUUGGGCAAUUCAACCACCAAAAUUAUUUAGGAAAAGGUUUGAGCCUAUUUCCCUUUCAGCCGCCACCCUUGCCGUCGUCGUCGCCAUUGUUGCCAUCGUCCUCGUUGCAUGCUCACGAUGAGGUUGUACCUGAUGGAUCGCGCAGAGCAUGCUCACGAUGAGGUUGAGGUAUGGCGUGUUCUGUACGACUUCAUCCUCUGUCAAUGCUCUUGCGUCACCUUCCAUCAUGCGUGGGCAUGCACCAGGUAUGGCGUGUUGUCAUGUACUUUCUGGUACAUUGGUUGUUACUAUGGAGGCUUUGUUGCUGUGGUCUCCCUUGGUACUGCAUACAUGGCCUAAACACGGUUGGGUGAUGUUGUGUCUUGUCGCGGAAGUCGUGGAUCGAUGGUGUCUGUCUGGGUUCCCUCCUUGCGGGUUCGCGUGGCGGGGACUCGAUCGUCCGUCCUGCCUCGUAGGCUUGCCUGACGAGGACUUGGUCGUUCGUCCUGCCUCGCAGGCUUGCUCGGCGAGGACUUGGUCGUUCCUCCCACCUCGCGGACUUGCUCGGCAAAUGGGUCGUGGAGAGUAUGGGCCUCACUAUGGGCACCCCAUUUCCUGGUACCCGACAUAGUGACUAAAAGUGACUAAAAUGAGCUUUUUACCCCACCACCUGCCCUCCCCCACGUGAGCUAUGCGCUGAACGAGCAAAGAAGUAAAUAGGGGUAAUGCAGUAAAUAUACGUAGUAGUUAAUGCUCUUUAGUCAGAUUUAGUCACUGACACCAAACGAGAUACUUUAGUGACUACUAAAGUUUAGUCAGGUGACUAAAGAAACCAAACAUAACCCUUAGUGUGAACCGAUUUAGGCACACUAGCAUAUAUCCCGUGUUAACGCUACGAUCUUGAAGAGGGAGGAGUCAACGACGGCGGUGGCGCAAGUGGAUAAGUUGACGACAGCGACGAUGACAAUGUGAGUGAGGAGAAGGGGGCAGUGGGGACGCAGAGGAUGGAAGAGGGGGAGGGGGUGGAUAGGGGCAGCAGGGUGGGAGGAGGGAGAGCGCGAGUGAGGGAGAGAGGGCGCCGGGACGCAUGGGAAGAGGAAGAGAUGAAUCAAAUAAUAUUAUAUAUUAAAUUUGAGUAAGUAAGAGAGAUUUAUCUAACGAUCCGAAUUGUUGGUUUUGAUGAUCUGUUAAGUUUAGGUGUAAUUUGUUUGAUGGAUUUAGUGAUGAUUAUAUGUGUGGGGGUGAUUUAGUUUGGUUGGUUUUACAAAAGUUUAAAUUUUUUUUAGAUUAUAUAGUGGUAUAGAUAGUCAAACAGUAGCGGCAAUGACAUCACGGUAAAUGCGCGUUGGCAUCCAAAUGCAGCUGGACACAGGUCACACAGCCUAACGGAUAUAUCAUAUAUGUGAAUCCUAACUGUACACUGUCUGAAGUGGACGAACGGCUCUGGCUUCGGCGUGUUACGUGUAUAGUAGGCCCCUUUUGAACGAACGGCGCGGGCCGGGGCCACCACCAGCAUCUGCGGCAGGGAGAAUCGCGUUGGUUCGACGCAAACGCUACCCGGCGCCCCCUUGCCCUUGGGGCCGGCUAUUUUACCGCACCCGUUCUCCCCUCUCUACCGCAGAUCAGAUCACACUCGUAGAGAGAAGGAAAAAUAUCCCCAAACCCUAGCUCCCGAUCUCGAUGGCGAACCCUCGCGUCUUCUUCGACAUGACCGUCGGCGGCGCCCCGGCGGGCCGGAUCGUGAUGGAGCUGUACGCCAACGAGGUGCCCAAGACCGCGGAGAACUUCCGCGCGCUGUGCACGGGCGAGAAGGGCGUGGGCAAGUCCGGGAAGCCGCUCCACUACAAGGGCUCCACCUUCCACCGCGUCAUCCCCGAGUUCAUGUGCCAGGGCGGCGACUUCACCCGCGGCAACGGCACCGGCGGCGAGUCCAUCUACGGCGAGAAGUUCCCCGACGAGAAGUUCGUGCGCAAGCACACCGCCCCCGGUGUGCUCUCCAUGGCCAACGCCGGGCCCAACACCAACGGCUCCCAGUUCUUCAUCUGCACCGUCGCGACCCCUUGGCUCGACGGCAAGCACGUCGUCUUCGGCCAGGUCGUCGAGGGCAUGGACGUCGUCAAGGCCAUCGAGAAGGUGGGCACCCGCAACGGCUCCACCUCCAAGGUGGUCAAGGUCGCUGACUGCGGACAGCUCUCCUAGAUCUCUCUGAUCUGGUCUGUUCGGCCGCCCUCCCUCCGUCAUCGUCGACUCCCCCUGCGUCCGUUCCUUUGGAUCUGAAUAAGAUGGUGGUGAUCUGAGUGGUGGUCUUAGUUUAUCAUGUAUCGCUCGCAGUUUAAUUUAGCGGUUUAGGUGUGGAUCUGUGAACCCCAUGGCGCCUCUGCUUGAUUCGUGUUUCACCUGUUAUGUUCUGAGAUUCAUGAUAAUGCUAUGAGAACUGAAAUUCCCGUUUCAUGCUUCUUAAAUCUUUGACCUCUGCGGUUGUGCCAUACGUUUUUAUUUUCCAUUCCGAGAUCUAGGCCACAAAAUGAUUCUGGUUGUUAGUGUUUUAAUGUGAACUGCCAAGCAUGGAUCACCCAACCUUUGCG
rnacentral:lncRNA from 1 species